UAGGCCUCUGGCUUCUGCUAUGUCAACGACAUUGUGAUUGGCAUCCUGGAGCUGCUCAAGUAAGUAGCCCAGGAGGAGAUGGGGGCAGUUACGGGAUUCUUGGCUGAGGAGGUCUCUCAGUCUCAACCCUGACCUUGACCUCCCUCCUCCCUGAUUAGCUUCUCCCAAGUUCUUGAUGCUUUAUUCAGGCUGCCUCUUCCACUGCUGCAGAUUCCCUACUGCCUGCUCACAUUUCAGCCUUCUCUGCAUAUCCCUCUCCUGUCCCUGCCUCUAGCCUCUAGGCUGGAGCCCCCAGUUGCCUUUAGGGAACUGGUGACAUUAAGUUUCAGGUGGCCAGGGCAGAAGCAGACUCUUCACAAUUCGAGACCCGGUGUUUGAGAGGAGUGGGUUGGGGGGUUCACUUCUAGCUCAGACCCUGGCUUUGGCUUCCCUCUAGGUACCACCCUCGGGUGCUCUACAUUGACAUUGACAUCCACCAUGGUGAUGGGGUUCAAGAAGCUUUCUACCUCACUGACCGGGUCAUGACGGUGUCCUUCCACAAAUAUGGAAAUUACUUCUUCCCUGGCACAGGUGACAUGUAUGAAGUCGGGGCAGAGAGUGGCCGC
rnacentral:sRNA from 1 species